CACGUAGGGUGCGAGCGUUGUCCGGAAUUAUUGGGCGUAAAGAGCUCGUAGGCGGUGUGUCGCGUCGGCCGUGAAAACCUGCAGCUUAACUGUGGGCUUGCGGUCGAUACGGGCAGACUUGAGUUCGGUAGGGGAGACUGGAAUUCCUGGUGUAGCGGUGAAAUGCGCAGAUAUCAGGAGGAACACCGGUGGCGAAGGCGGGUCUCUGGACAGUUCCUGACGCUGAGGCACGAAGGCCAGGGGAGCAAACGGG
rnacentral:rRNA from 1 species